rnacentral:piRNA from 1 species
UGGAAUAAUGAGAUGCCUGGAGAUGA